rnacentral:rRNA from 2 species
AGAUUAAGUUAUUAAGGGCGCACGGUGGAUGCCUUGGCACUAGAAGCCGAUGAAGGACGUUACUAACGACGAUAUGCUUUGGGGAGCUGUAAGUAAGCUUUGAUCCAGAGAUUUCCGAAUGGGGAAACCCAGCAUGAGUUAUGUCAUGUUAUCGAUA